UACAGGACAGCGAGGAAGAAUGGUCGGCAUUACUAGAAGCAACGGAUCCGUCUGUAGCUCAGCUGAGCACCCCCUUCCUCCUCCUCAAAGACCCCAACUUCAGGAAGAAGGUCCAUGGCCGGCUACGAGACUGCUCUCCUCCGGUGUCGCUGGAAGCUGUAUCCCGCCUCCGCCCAGCCGUCCGUGUCAUCUGUAACCUCUUAUCAUCGACCUGUGAUCCGGCCCUGCUCUCUGACCUCUGUGAGGAGUUACAGAUCCCUCAUUUCCUCCUGCAGCUGAUCAGCCAAUCAUUGAAGGAGGAUGUGCGCCAGUGUUCAUGGGCCUCGUCCUUUCUGUCAGAUCUCUUUAUCCUUCUGAACUCUUACUACUGUUUCAAGAGUCAUCCCGAGGCUUCCCGCUCUCUGCAGAACUAUGAAGAAGAUUUCUUG